AAUAAGAGAGAGCCAUGGAUUUAUAGAGAGACGUACAUCCUAAGCAAGAGAAGGCAGGGAGACUCACAACUACUAACUGCAGUGGAACUUCACACUCCUCUCGGCUCACUCAAAUCUCCCCAAAAUGUUCAAUCCUCAAACCUCGCCACCGCCGCUUCCGGUCAUGACUCCGCCGGCAACCCCUCUCAACCAUGAAACGACGUCGCACAAGAAAAAUCGCAGAACCACCGGAGUUCCCGUUCCCCUUCCUCACUCAGUGGAAGUGAUUGACGUUGACGAUUCCCCUGCCUCCGCCUUUUUCACGCCCAUCUCCUUCCUAGGCACGAUCAGGUCAAACGCUGUCUCCGUUGAGCAACGUGACGGUUUUUCCAAAUCUGUCCACAUCAUCGACCUUUCCGACACCGAGGACGACGAUGAUUUACGUAUCCUCAAUUUCACUCCCGCAAACACUUCCUUUGGCAAAAGGAAAAAGCUCAGGGGAGAAUCCUCCAACGCAGCCCCCUUCGACUGCGAAAUCUGUGCUGAAACUAAAACAUCCAAGGAAGCCUUCUCCAUCAACGGCUGCUGCCACGUGUACUGCAACCAGUGCAUCGCGCUCUAUGUCGAAUCGAAGCUCCAGGACAACGUGGUCAACAUAGGCUGCCCUGUGCCGCGGUGCAGGGGGUUAUUGGAAGCCGAAGAUUGCCGUUCGAUUCUCGCGCCUGAGGUUUUGGAUCGGUGGGGUAAAGCGCUGUGUGAGGCGGUGAUUUCUGUGGAAGAGAAGUUCUAUUGUCCUUUUCCAGAUUGCUCUGUGCUGUUGAUUCGCGAGGAGAAGGAUGAGGGUAUCAAAGAAUCGAAUUGUCCUAACUGUGGGAGGCUGUUUUGUGCGCUGUGUAGGGUACCCUGGCACGAGGACAUGCCCUGUGAGGAGUUUCAGAAACUGAACGCCGAAGAGAGGGGAAGAGAGGAUGUGAUGCUGAGGAACCUUGCCAAGCAAAUGAUGUGGAAGAGGUGUCCCACUUGUGGGUUUUACGUCGCCAAAACCUCUGGCUGUAUGUACAUGAAAUGCAGGUAUGGCUUGGCUUCAACCACCCUCUGUCUUCUCGUUUGUAUUGGGUAAAUUUUGAACAUCUCACUGAAAAGGACGAAAUAUGGCAUACUCUGUCCAUAGUUAUUAUUGCCUCUUCACUUUUUAUGUCGAUUUGGCUUGACAUUCUUUACGCGAGCAUAUCAGCUUGUAAAGGGUUAAGAUUCAUCAUUCACAUAAUCUUUCUAAAGCAUGAGGUGUGGGAGUGCCUUCUGUUACAACUGUGGGAUUCCUAACUCAUCUAACCUCCAUUAUUGCUCCUCCUGUAGAAGAUAAUAUUAUUACGGCAGCAAGGAAGUUUCAAACGUACCAUCUCAUGGAAGCUAAUCUAAAUUCUUCUCUAAUACCUCUCACCUACUGACUUCAUUAUAUAUACAUUAAUAUUAUUAUGUACAGCUUAUUAUUAUAUAACUUUUUAAAAAUGUUAGAACACAAUGUCCAUAUGUUUUCAGUGUGACUUUAUGAAUGCAUGAGACCUAUGAAUCUUUGACAGCUCUAAGGUUCAUUUCCUUCUA